CAUAUUACUGUUCAAAGGUUGUAUAGAACGCUCGUAUCAUAAGUGCAGUUUUAAGUACAGUACAGUACACAGUUACAGUCACAGUAUACAGUUCAGUUUAACUUUAUUCUGUUGUGGAACGUUCACAUUUUUUUUUUUUUUUACAUAAGUAUAAAAUAUAUAAGAUGAGAAUUUGGUGGUCAAAUUUGUCAAAAAAUGAAAAAUCUAUGGCUAAUCAAAGUAAGACACAUUCGCUUAUGGAAGAAGAAAUACAAUGGGCAAAAAAGGAAAAACAGAAAGUCAAAGCUCUGAAAAAAAAUAACAACAUAGUAAUGAACGACCACCUAUUGAAUUACCUGUUAACUAAAGAUAAUGGCAAUCUUAGUACUAAUGGAAUCGCAGGGAAAAUAUCUGUUUUAAUUAUUUUUCCGUUUUUAAUUUUAUUAUUUUUAAUUGUUAUGCUUUAUAUUUAAAAUAUUUAACGUUUAUUAUUUGUAUAUAUCAAAACUUGUUAUUUAUUUGUAUAGUUCUAUUAUAAUUUCUUUAAUUUUUAAAUUAAAAUUUCUAAUAAAUAUUACAUCCGUUUUCGUUUUAA